CGGAUUGUAGUCUGCAACUCGACUACAUGAAGCUGGAAUCGCUAGUAAUCGCGAAUCAGAAUGUCGCGGUGAAUACGUUCCCGGGUCUUGUACACACCGCCCGUCACACCAUGGGAGUCGGGAAUGCCCGAAGUCAGUGACCCAACCGGAAGGAGGGAGCUGCCGAAGGCAGGCUCGAUAACUGGGGUGAAGUCGUAACAAGGUAUC
rnacentral:rRNA from 1 species